UCUUGAAGCUCAAGUUAUAGAAAUCCAAAAGAAAUUGCAUGAUAUAAGGGGCUGCAGAUGUCUCUUUGUGAUUCGAUACACUGGCGAUGACACCGAGGAAACAAUUCGUUUGAGGCGAAUGUGUGUUCGACCAAACAUAUUAGGGCGUCCUUGAUACAGUUUGAACUUUUGAAUAUAGUAACACGCUCAUAUGCUUAAUCAUAAAAUUGUCUUGAGGAAGAAAGAAGUCUUACUCUAUUGAGAUAGUCG
rnacentral:misc_RNA from 1 species